CCUACGGGAGGCAGCAGUGGGGAAUUUUGGACAAUGGACGCAAGUCUGAUCCAGCCAUGCCGCGUGUGGGAAGAAGGCCUUCGGGUUGUAAACCACUUUUGUCAGGGAAGAAACGGUCUGGGUUAAUACCUUGGGCUAAUGACGGUACCUGAAGAAUAAGCACCGGCUAACUACGUGCCAGCAGCCGCGGUAAUACGUAGGGUGCAAGCGUUAAUCGGAAUUACUGGGCGUAAAGCGUGCGCAGGCGGUUAUGCAAGACAGAUGUGAAAUCCCCGGGCUCAACCUGGGAACUGCAUUUGUGACUGCAUGGCUAGAGUACGGUAGAGGGGGAUGGAAUUCCGCGUGUAGCAGUGAAAUGCGUAGAUAUGCGGAGGAACACCGAUGGCGAAGGCAAUCCCCUGGACCUGUACUGACGCUCAUGCACGAAAGCGUGGGGAGCAAACAGGAUUAGAUACCCUGGUAGUCCACGCCCUAAACGAUGUCAACUGGUUGUUGGGAGGGUUUCUUCUCAGUAACGUAGCUAACGCGUGAAGUUGACCGCCUGGGGAGUACGGCCGCAAGGUUGAAACUUAAAGGAAUUGACGG
rnacentral:rRNA from 1 species